UUAGGAAUUUUGGGCAAUGGGCGAAAGCCUGACCCAGCAACGCCGCGUGAGUGAUGAAGGCCUUCGGGUCGUAAAGCUCUUUUACAGGGGAAGAUAAUGACGGUACCCUGUGAAUAAGCCCCGGCUAACUACGUGCCAGCAGCCGCGGUGAUACGUAGGGGGCAAGCGUUGUCCGGAUUUACUGGGCGUAAAAAGCUCGUAGGUGGCUCGUCCAGUCGGACGUGAAAUCUCCCGGCUUAACUGGGAGAGGUCGUUCGAUACUAGCGGGCUUGAGGCCGGUAGAGGGAAGCGGAAUUCCGGGUGUAGUGGUGGAAUACGUAGAUAUCCGGAGGAACACCAGUGGCGAAGGCGGCUUCCUGGACCGGUUCUGACACUGAGGAGCGAAAGCGUGGGGAGCGAUCCG
rnacentral:rRNA from 1 species